UACGUAGGGGGCAAGCGUUGUCCGGAAUCAUUGGGCGUAAAGAGCGUGUAGGCGGCCAGAUAAGUCCGCUGUGAAAUCUCGAGGCUCAACUUCGAGCUGUCGGUGGAAACUGUCUGGCUAGAGUCCGGAAGAGGAGAAUGGAAUUCCUGGUGUAGCGGUGAAAUGCGCAGAUAUCAGGAAGAACACCCGUGGCGAAGGCGGUUCUCUGGGCCGUAACUGACGCUGAGGAGCGAAAGCGUGGGGAGCGAACAGG
rnacentral:rRNA from 1 species